AAAUUGAAGAGUUUGAUCAUGGCUCAGAUUGAACGCUGGCGGCAGGCCUAACACAUGCAAGUCGAACGGUAACAGGAAGCAGCUUGCUGCUUCGCUGACGAGUGGCGGACGGGUGAGUAAUGUCUGGGAAACUGCCUGAUGGAGGGGGAUAACUACUGGAAACGGUAGCUAAUACCGCAUAACGUCGCAAGACCAAAGAGGGGGACCUUCGGGCCUCUUGCCAUCGGAUGUGCCCAGAUGGGAUUAGCUUGUUGGUGGGGUAACGGCUCACCAAGGCGACGAUCCCUAGCUGGUCUGAGAGGAUGACCAGCCACACUGGAACUGAGACACGGUCCAGACUCCUACGGGAGGCAGCAGUGGGGAAUAUUGCACAAUGGGCGCAAGCCUGAUGCAGCCAUGCCGCGUGUAUGAAGAAGGCCUUCGGGUUGUAAAGUACUUUCAGCGGGGAGGAAGGGAGUAAAGUUAAUACCUUUGCUCAUUGACGUUACCCACAGAAGAAGCACCGGCUAACUCCGUGCCAGCAGCCGCGGUAAUACGGAGGGUGCAAGCGUUAAUCGGAAUUACUGGGCGUAAAGCGCACGCAGGCGGUUUGUUAAGUCAGAUGUGAAAUCCCCGGGCUCAACCUGGGAACUGCAUCUGAUACUGGCAAGCUUGAGUCUCGUAGAGGGGGGUAGAAUUCCAGGUGUAGCGGUGAAAUGCGUAGAGAUCUGGAGGAAUACCGGUGGCGAAGGCGGCCCCCUGGACGAAGACUGACGCUCAGGUGCGAAAGCGUGGGGAGCAAACAGGAUUAGAUACCCUGGUAGUCCACGCCGUAAACGAUGUCGACUUGGAGGUUGUGCCCUUGAGGCGUGGCUUCCGGAGCUAACGCGUUAAGUCGACCGCCUGGGGAGUACGGCCGCAAGGUUAAAACUCAAAUGAAUUGACGGGGGCCCGCACAAGCGGUGGAGCAUGUGGUUUAAUUCGAUGCAACGCGAAGAACCUUACCUGGUCUUGACAUCCACGGAAGUUUUCAGAGAUGAGAAUGUGCCUUCGGGAACCGUGAGACAGGUGCUGCAUGGCUGUCGUCAGCUCGUGUUGUGAAAUGUUGGGUUAAGUCCCGCAACGAGCGCAACCCUUAUCCUUUGUUGCCAGCGGUCCGGCCGGGAACUCAAAGGAGACUGCCAGUGAUAAACUGGAGGAAGGUGGGGAUGACGUCAAGUCAUCAUGGCCCUUACGACCAGGGCUACACACGUGCUACAAUGGCGCAUACAAAGAGAAGCGACCUCGCGAGAGCAAGCGGACCUCAUAAAGUGCGUCGUAGUCCGGAUUGGAGUCUGCAACUCGACUCCAUGAAGUCGGAAUCGCUAGUAAUCGUGGAUCAGAAUGCCACGGUGAAUACGUUCCCGGGCCUUGUACACACCGCCCGUCACACCAUGGGAGUGGGUUGCAAAAGAAGUAGGUAGCUUAACCUUCGGGAGGGCGCUUACCACUUUGUGAUUCAUGACUGGGGUGAAGUCGUAACAAGGUAACCGUAGGGGAACCUGCGGUUGGAUCACCUCCUUA
rnacentral:rRNA from 1 species